rnacentral:misc_RNA from 1 species
GAUGAAGAACGUAUCGAAAUGCGAUACUUGGUGUGAAUUGCAGAAUCCCGUGAACCAUCGAGUCUUUGAACGCAAGUUGCGCCCGAAGCCACUAGGCCGAGGGCACGCCUGCCUGGGCGUCACACGCCGUUGCCCCCCCAUCUACUCCUUCGGGAUUGCGGGGGGGCGGAUGAUGGCCUCCCGUGCGCCUAGCCGCGCGGUUGGCAUAAAUACCAAGUCCUCGGCGACGCACGCCACGACAAUCGGUGGUUGCGAAACCUCGGUUGCCCGUCGUGUGCGUUCGUCGCGCAUCGAGGGCUCGAAAAAAUGCUCGGCUCCGGCUGGGCUUUCAACGCGACCCCAGGUCAGGCGGGGUUACCCGCUGAAUUUAAGCAUAUCAAAAGCGGAGGA